CAGUCGCCGCGGUAAUACGUAGGGUGCGAGCGUUAAUCGGAAUUACUGGGCGUAAAGCGUGCGCAGGCGGUGAUGUAAGACAGAUGUGAAAUCCCCGGGCUCAACCUGGGAACUGCAUUAGUGACUGCAUCGCUGGAGUGCGGCAGAGGGGGAUGGAAUUCCGCGUGUAGCAGUGAAAUGCGUAGAUAUGCGGAGGAACACCGAUGGCGAAGGCAAUCCCCUGGGCCUGCACUGACGCUCAUGCACGAAAGCGUGGGGAGCAAACAGGAUUAGAGACCCCCGUAGUCCCUGUCUCUUAUAC
rnacentral:rRNA from 1 species